GAGGGGCGCCCACCUGCCCCCGGCCGGCCGCAGUCCCCGGUGCGGCGGGGCGGGCGGCGGCGAUGAAGGGCCCGCGGGCGGCCGGGAUGUUCGGGGCGGGCCGGUACAGCAUCCCGCGGCCCGUCACGAGGAACCUGGAGGACCUGGACUCGGUGCAGAGCGUCCUGCUGCACAGGAGAGCGACUUGACAGAAACUCUGCUGGACCGGUUCCACGGGCGCUUUGAGUCCUCCUUUAAGGAGAGAAGAAAAAGAUCUGCACUCGCACGCAAAUCCCAGAUGGGCGAUCCUUAAGUGAGUGUGCAGGAGAAGCGCUGCCUGAGAAGAAACUUCCUUUUUCCCUGCCUUCACCAUCCCUAACAGGCAAUUCUCCGCGGAACCUCACCACAGAGAAACCUUGCCAGUAAGACCGUGUCCAGGAGGCCAGAACAGGACUUUCCAAGCCACCCUCGCUGCCAUCUUUGCGCUGGCUGAGGGCUGCUUAGCUGCACACGGCAAGCACCGUCCCAUUCAGCAGUGCCCAACAUCAGCUCAUCUGCAGUUGUGCCCCUUUCCUUAAGUAUUCUCUCUGCUGCAUUGAUUGAUUUCCUACUGAAAAGGAAAAGUGCACUUUCUCUCAGUGCCAGCUCCAAAGAGAUAUUGCUAUGGGAACUAACAGCUAAUUCAGAGCUCAACUUCUCCCCAGCUGAAAGCACCAAACUGAAUAGUUGCUUAAAAGCCGUUUCUGUGAGCGCUCAGGAUGAAAACUGAUUGCAGCAAGUAGGGCACUCUGGGACCAGCCUGUGUAGCAGCCCAUGCUGCUCUCUGAAGUUGCUUUAUCUAUAAGCAAAAAAUGUGCCUGUGUGUUACCAGGGGGUCCUCUGGUAUUUGAAAUACUGGGAAUGCGUUUGUUAGUGACUUAACAAAAAAUGUUUUGCUUCAAAGUCGGAUUAAAAACAUGCUGCCCCCUG